AACAAUCCAUUGAGAUUGAUGUUACAAGACAAAAGUAGUCACAUGUGCGAUCAAGAGAGACCUAUGCUGCAGAUUUUAUAGUGUGAGCUAUUCUCUGCUAAAUGAAGUAACUAGACCUUAAAAACCUUAAAAAGUAGAAGGGGUAUGCAGAAUUGAGGAAUUCAAAUAUUAUCCUGAAGUCUUUAAAAUAACUUCAUUUGAGAAUUGACCGGACCAGUUAUGGAAUCAUGUGAACAAGCUUAACGUGAAAAAGGUUAUGUGAAAUGAGUGUUUGGGAAGAAUUUCUCAAUGUCCUUCCUUUCAUUCAAAUUUUUUCUGUUUGGUGAAACUGCACUUGUGCGCCUUCUCUUUCAGCCUUUUCAAAUGUGGGUAUCAGGAAAUCUCAGACAUCUCUCUUAAGAACCGAAAAACUAUAUUUGCACCUCUUCUUGUUACCUCUGAAUAGUGGCAAUCUUUGGAGCUGCCCCGAUCUGAGCUUGCCAAGCACCUCUCGUACAAAUCAUCUAAAAAAUUAUUUUUCAAAUCAUGUGGUACGAUUUGCCGAUGGGAUUUGGGAAGACUCUGGCCCCAAUGCAUGUCAAGUAUUUUCCAACGUGGUUUCAAUGGCCUAAUGAUCCCAACAAAUUAUACACAUUCUUAAUGACAGGUAAACUUACAAUUGAAAAAUGAUUCACUUUUGCAUGGUGGGUAAGAUGCAGGCGGAAUACAAUACAUUCCACUCAAAGAAAAUUCACAUCUCGACCUUACCAGGCAUAUUAUAUGUGCACGAGAUGAGGCUGAGAUUCAAAUGUUCGUAAAAUAUUACGCGGUACAAACAUUAGACAUUCUUGUAUUUUAUGCAAGCGAAUACAAAGAUUCUAGCUAAA